AUUGAACGCUGGCGGCAUGCCUUACACAUGCAAGUCGAACGGUAACGCGGGGCAACCUGGCGACGAGUGGCGAACGGGUGAGUAAUGUAUCGGAACGUGCCCAGUUGUGGGGGAUAACUGCUCGAAAGAGCAGCUAAUACCGCAUACGACCUGAGGGUGAAGGCGGGGGAUCGCAAGACCUCGCGCAAUUGGAGCGGCCGAUAUCAGAUUAGGUAGUUGGUGGGGUAAAGGCCCACCAAGCCAACGAUCUGUAGCUGGUCUGAGAGGACGACCAGCCACACUGGGACUGAGACACGGCCCAGACUCCUACGGGAGGCAGCAGUGGGGAAUUUUGGACAAUGGGCGCAAGCCUGAUCCAGCCAUGCCGCGUGCGGGAAGAAGGCCUUCGGGUUGUAAACCGCUUUUGUCAGGGAAGAAACGCUCUGGGCUAAUACCCUGGGGUAAUGACGGUACCUGAAGAAUAAGCACCGGCUAACUACGUGCCAGCCGCCGCGGUAAGAC
rnacentral:rRNA from 1 species